UACGGAGGGUGCUAGCGUUGUUCGGAAUCACUGGGCGUAAAGGGCGUGUAGGCGGUCUGUUAAGUCUGAUGUGAAAUCCCUCGCUCAACGAGGGAACUGCGUCGGAUACUGGCAGACUUGAGUACCGGAGAGGAAGGUGGAAUUCCGGUGUAGCGGUGAAAUGCGUAGAUAUUGGGAGGAACACCAGUGGCGAAGGCGGCUCACUGGACUGGUACUGAACGCUGAGGCGGCGAAAGCGUGGGAGCAAACGGG
rnacentral:rRNA from 1 species